CUUGGUAUUCUUUUAUGUCUCAAGUUGAGAUUAUUAUCCAUCACAAGUUGCAUUUCGGUGGUUGUUUGGUUCAUAUCCACCAUAGAAAAAUUUAACAUGAUGUCGUAAUCCAUAUUUACAUAAGGUUUAUGGUUUUAAUUAGAUAUAUAGCUUUAUUGACUAAAACCAAUUCAUGUAUUAUGCCUUAUUGCUUCAUGUCCAGAAAAAGUUAAUUAAGAGAAGCUUCAUAGAAUUUGUAAUUACUAGUGGCCACGGUACGUGACUCACGCUAAGGAUGUGGUUAAAUAAAAAAUAAACUGCAUAUAAUACUUGUAACGAAUAAUGACUUUCAUUUAGGUGAUUUUAAGAAUAGUGACUACUUUUCUACCCUCACAUAAAUUGAGAGCAUAUGUCCUAUGCUGAUG
rnacentral:lncRNA from 1 species